rnacentral:lncRNA from 1 species
GUACUCAUUGUUUCUUUGUUUUGGAUUUUAUACCAAGGUUUAGUCUACAAGGGAGCAGCAGGAUAUAGGAGUAGUUGGUGAAGAAAAACCACCCUUUCUCAAGACAUUUUCAAUGAGCAGGUGUGGGGUAUGCUGCUGUCAUUCAGGAUUCUCGAGGCCAAGUUGUUAAAGCUACAUCGGCAGAAGUGAGGGGCUGGUUGAACCAUGAAUGGCCGAGUUGAUUGUCCCUCUUAGUUAAGGUCACUUCUAAAUCUAAUCAAUCGGAUUACUUAUUGGUGGUCGAAGCAUUACAAAAUUUAUGUUCUUUUAUUAUUGAAUUUGGUAUAACCCUUCAUGAUUGUUU